rnacentral:lncRNA from 1 species
UACCUACUUGGUUGAUCCUACCAGUACCAUAUGCUUGUCUCAAAGAUUAUGCCAUACAUGUCUAAGUAGGCAGGGCCGGUACAGUGAAACUGCGAAUGGCUCAUUAAAUCAGUUAUGGUUCUUUUGGUCGCUCGCUCCUCUCCUACUUGGAAAACUGUGGUAAUUCUAGAGCUAAUGCAUGCCGAAGGGUGCUGACCCCCUUCGCGGGGAAGAUGCCUGCAUUUAUCAGAUCAAAACCAACCCGGUCAGCCCCUCUCCGGCCCCUGCCCCCCUGUGGCAGCAACGACCCAUUCGAACGUCUGCCCUAUCAACUUUCGAUGGUAGUCGCUGUGCCUACCAAGGUGACCACGGGUGAAGGAGAAUCAGGGUUCGAUUCUGGAGAGGGAGCCUGAGAAAUGGCUACCACAUUCAAGGAAGGCAGCAGGCAUGCAAAUUACCCACUCCUGACUCGAGGAGGUAGUGAUGAAACAUAACAAUACAGGACUCUUUCGAGGUCCUGUAAUUGGAAUGAGUCCACUUUAAAUCCUUUAACGAAGAUCCAUUGGAGGGCAAGUUUAGUGCCAGCAGCCGCGGUAAUUCCAGCUCCAAUAGCGUAUAUUAAAGUUGCUGCAGUUAAAAAGCUCCUAGUUGGAUCUUGGGAGCGGUCGGAGGUUCGAAGACGAUCAGAUACCGUGGUAGUUCUGACCAUAAACGAUGCCGACUGGCAACGUGGUUUAGGUUCCGGGGGGAGUACGGUUGCAAAGCUGAAACUUAAAGGAAUUGGUGGAAGGGCACCACCAGGAGUGGAGCCUGCGGCUUAAUUUGACUCAACAUGGGAAAA